rnacentral:rRNA from 1 species
UCGAGGAUCUUCGGCAAUGGGCGCAAGCCUGACCGAGCGACGCCGCGUGCGGGAUGAAGGCCUUCGGGUUGUAAACCGCCGUCGGAGUGGAGGAAAUUCCAGAGGGUAAUCUCUAUGGAUUGACUAAUACUCAGAGGAAGGACGGGCUAAGUUCGUGCCAGCAGCCGCGGUAAGACGAACCGUCCAAACGUUAUUCGGAAUCACUGGGCUUAAAGGGUGCGUAGGCGGCCCGGAAAGUUGUGUGUGAAAGCCCUCGGCUCAACCGAGGAAUAGCGCGCAAAACUACCGGGCUUGAGGAAGACAGAGGUAAGCGGAACUUAGGGUGGAGCGGUGAAAUGCGUUGAUAUCCUAAGGAACACCAGGAGCGAAAGCGGCUUACUGGGUCUCUUCUGACGCUGAGGCACGAAAGCUAGGGGAGCGAACGGGAUUAGAUACCCCUGUAGUCC